AUUGAACGCUGGCGGCAGGCCUAACACAUGCAAGUCGAACGAGUGGCGGACGGGUGAGUAAUGUCUGGGAAACCGCCUGAUGGAGGGGGAUAACUACUGGAAACGGUAGCUAAUACCGCAUACCAUCGGAUGUGCCCAGAUGGGAUUAGCUAGUAGGUGGGGUAAAGGCUCACCUAGGCGAAGAUGCCUAGCUGGUCUGAGAGGAUGACCAGCCACACUGGAACUGAGACCUGGUCCAGACUCCUACGGGAUGCAGCAGUGGGGAAUAUUGGACAAUGGGCGCAAGCCCUAUGCAGCCAUGCCGCGUGUAUGAAGAAGGCCUUCGGGUUGUAAAGUACUUUCAGCGAGGAGGCGUUACCCGCAGAAGAAGCACCGGCUAACUCAGUGCCAGCAGCCGCGGUAAUUC
rnacentral:rRNA from 1 species